GUUUGUUUUAUCUUUUAAAAGCAAUGAAUACAUAUUUAAUGGAUGUGCUGAUGUCAACAAAAUGGAAUGUAAACAAACCGGGCAGGCCAGCAGGCACUGCCAGUCGCAGUCAGCAAUGAGUAAAUCAGCGCUCAGAGAAGGGAUAACGCUGCACCAGGAGGCAGGAAACCAACCGUUCCUGUCUAUAUCCCAGUUCAAGACAAACUUCUGGUCGUGAUUGAGGAUAACACCACCUCAAUUUCAGGUGUUGAGAAUGCCUGUGACAGAACAACCAACAGCUGUUAUCAGUGUUCCUGUAGGUUGGUACAGCAAGCUAUGGCAGGAAAGCCAGAAUAUCGAACUGCUGCAGAGGGACAAUAACUUCCAGUGCACCCAUCCUCUGCAUCAUUGCAGGAUCUUGCCAAGAUGACAUUUGAGGAGUUCCACCACCUGUCUGAGAAAGAGAAAAAUAGAUAGGGUUCAAUAUGUUGAUAUGCAAUACAAACUAGCUCAAAUAUUAAAAAAAGUAAUUCUUUCCCAUCUCCUCUUUCAGUAAUAUAAUACUAUUUUAUUUUCAUUUUGUAUGAUAACCGUGGCAUAGUAAUAAGGGGGUAAGCCGGGCAAAUGCCCCGGGCAGCACAUUUCUUAAUGGGCAGCACAAGCGAGGCUACUGAGAGUAUUGGUGUUCAGACUAUUGUUUUAGAAUUUGCAACAUUGAAGGUAUGCAAAAUAAUGAUUUAAAGUUGAUGGAUGUAUAAUAUAAUAUGUAUACAUAAUACACAAAUGCUUAAUUUUACAUUUUAAUUAUUUUUGGGUACAGCAUUUCCAGGUUUUGCCCCCAUGUAAAUCUAUGUCUCACUACGCCGCUGUAUUUUAUUUUAUUUUAUUUAUUUAUUUAUUUAUUUAUUUUAUUUAUUUAUUUAUUUUUAUUUUUUUUUUUAUUUAUUUAUUUUUUUUUUUUUUAUUUAUUUAUUUAUUUUUUUUUUUUUGUAGGGAAAAGGGCCAGCCAAGGGCAGAAAACAGAAAGUUAAAAAAAGGCCCACUUGAGCGCUGGCUCUCCAAAGAGUACAAAAUGUGCCAAAACCGUCAGCCAGAAUUAGGGGAGCAAAAGGUAUGAAAGGGCUGUGGUAUUUAACAGAGUAUUAAAUAUUGUGAUGUGUCACCUUAGUAUUAUUCACUACCUAUCUU